UCCGACUUCACUCCAACCCCUGUGACAUACCAAUUGUUGCCUCGGCGGAUCAGCCCGCUCCCGGUAAAACGGGACGGCCCGCCAGAGGACCCCUAAACUCUGUUUCUAUAUGUAACUUCUGAGUAAAACCAUAAAUAAAUCAAAACUUUCAACAACGGAUCUCUUGGUUCUGGCAUCGAUGAAGAACGCAGCAAAAUGCGAUAAGUAAUGUGAAUUGCAGAAUUCAGUGAAUCAUCGAAUCUUUGAACGCACAUUGCGCCCGCCAGUAUUCUGGCGGGCAUGCCUGUUCGAGCGUCAUUUCAACCCUCAAGCCCCCGGGUUUGGUGUUGGGGAUCGGCGAGCCCUUGCGGCAAGCCGGCCCCGAAAUCUAGUGGCGGUCUCGCUGCAGCUUCCAUUGCGUAGUAGUAAAACCCUCGCAACUGGUACGCGGCGCGGCCAAGCCGUUAAACCCCCAACUUCUGAAUGUUGACCUCGGAUCAGGUAGGAAUACCCGCUGAACUUAAGCAUAUCAAUAAGCGGAGGAACUC
rnacentral:rRNA from 1 species